GUGGGGAAUAUUGGACAAUGGGCGCAAGCCUGAUCCAGCCAUGCCGCGUGAGUGAUGAAGGCCCUAGGGUUGUAAAGCUCUUUCACCGGUGAAGAUAAUGACGGUAACCGGAGAAGAAGCCCCGGCUAACUUCGUGCCAGCAGCCGCGGUAAUACGAAGGGGGCUAGCGUUGUUCGGAAUUACUGGGCGUAAAGCGCACGUAGGCGGACCUUUAAGUCAGGGGUGAAAUCCCGGGGCUCAACCCCGGAACUGCCUUUGAUACUGGGUGUCUGGAGUAUGGAAGAGGUAAGUGGAAUUCCGAGUGUAGAGGUGAAAUUCGUAGAUAUUCGGAGGAACACCAGUGGCGAAGGCGGCUUACUGGUCCAUUACUGACGCUGAGGUGCGAAAGCGUGGGGAGCAAACAGGAUUAGAAACCCGGGUAGUCC
rnacentral:rRNA from 1 species